UAUACAUGCAGUCGAGCGAAUCUGAGGGAGCUUGCUCCCAAAGAUUAGCGGCGGACGGGUGAGUAACACGUGGGCAACCUGCCUGUAAGACUGGGAUAACUCCGGGAAACCGGGGCUAAUACCGGAUAAUAUCUAUUUAUACAUAUAAUUAGAUUGAAAGAUGGUUCUGCUAUCACUUACAGAUGGGCCCGCGGCGCAUUAGCUAGUUGGUGAGGUAACGGCUCACCAAGGCGACGAUGCGUAGCCGACCUGAGAGGGUGAUCGGCCACACUGGGACUGAGACACGGCCCAGACUCCUACGGGAGGCAGCAGUAGGGAAUCUUCCGCAAUGGACGAAAGUCUGACGGAGCAACGCCGCGUGAGUGAUGAAGGUUUUCGGAUCGUAAAACUCUGUUGUUAGGGAAGAACAAGUACCGGAGUAACUGCCGGUACCUUGACGGUACCUAACCAGAAAGCCACGGCUAACUACGUGCCAGCAGCCGCGGUAAUACGUAGGUGGCAAGCGUUGUCCGGAAUUAUUGGGCGUAAAGCGCGCGCAGGCGGUUCUUUAAGUCUGAUGUGAAAGCCCACGGCUCAACCGUGGAGGGUCAUUGGAAACUGGGGAACUUGAGUGCAGAAGAGGAAAGUGGAAUUCCAAGUGUAGCGGUGAAAUGCGUAGAGAUUUGGAGGAACACCAGUGGCGAAGGCGACUUUCUGGUCUGUAACUGACGC
rnacentral:rRNA from 1 species